rnacentral:rRNA from 1 species
AGAAAUUAUGAAUUCUGGCGGGAGAUGUUUGCGAGCCUGCGCUUAAGUGCGCGGCAAGCGGUGUCUCCAAUUCACGCUGGUUAUUCUUACACACUGUGGAGUAUUUUCUACUUUUAUUAUCGAGGCGCUUGCGCUUCAACACCAAAACACAAACAAUCUAUUUUUAUUUUAUACCUAGUCAAAACAAAUCUGUCUCUGACAGUAACCAAAAUAUUCAAAACUUUCAACAACGGAUCUCUUGGUUCUCGCAUCGAUGAAGAACGCAGCGAAAUGCGAUACGUAAUGUGAAUUGCAGAAUUCCGUGAAUCAUCGAAUCUUUGAACGCACAUUGCGCCCCUUGGUAUUCCAGGGGGCAUGCCUGUUUGAGCGUCAUUUCCUUCUCAAAUACUUGUAUUUGGUUGUGAGUGACACUCUGUUUUUCUGAGUUAACUUGAAAUUGUUGGCCGCGGGCCAUUGCAGCUAGUGUUAUUCUGCGUCUUUCGCAGGGGCACGGCAUGUCGUAUUAGGUUUUACCAACUCCGGCACGUUGUCCUCUGAUCCAAACGGAAGUAGUAGAGCAUUGCUUCAAGCCCUGGCAAACAGUACUCUUUAAGUUUGACCUCAAAUCAGGUAGGAAUACCCGCUGAACUUAAGCAUAUCAAUAAGCGGAGGAAAAG